AGGGACUAGUUUACUAGAGUUUAAUAUAUAGGAGCAUUAAAGUACUGAUAGGUGUAGAGAUGAAAUUCGUUGAUACCAUAUAUGGCACAGGUUUAGGCGGAAGCAUCUCCUUAUGUAAAAACUGACGUUCAGGUACGAAGGCUAUGUGCAGCAAACAGGAUUAGAUACCCUGGUAGUUUUAGCAGAAAAUGAUGAAUGUCAUAGGAUAGACUAUGUUUAUUUUAUAAAUGAAAGUGUAAGCAUUCUACCUCAUGAGUAAUUUGGCAACAUUGGAAUUGAAAUCAUUAGACCGUUUCUGAUAUAAGCAGUGAAGUAUGUUGUUUAAUUUGAUGAUCCGCAAAAAACCUUACCACACUUUGAAUAUUACUUUAUGUUUUAAAUUUUGAUAAAGUAUUACAAGCGCUGCACGGUUGUCUUCAGUUUAUGUCGUGAGACUCUGGUUAACUCCUCUUAAUAAACGUAAACCCUUAUUUUAUUUAUUAAUAAAUUAGAUCCCCUUUAGAUUGGAUAUGAUACAAGGGACUAAGACAAAUCAUCAUGGCCUAAAUAGUGUGGGCUA
rnacentral:rRNA from 1 species